CCGCAUAAACUCGUCCCACUGCAGCCCCGGAAGCCAGGAGGUGCGGCUGAGGCAUCUUUGUGACGGAGCGGGCUCCGCGGUAUCCACCGCGUCCACAACCGAGAGCGGAGCGGCCGGGUCUGCCCAGCAUGUCGGAAGCUGGUGAGGGAGAGAGGAGCAUGGAGACCACGGACACCCCCAAAAUGGACACAAGGCCGCUCCCGUAGGCGGAUCGCCCGCCCGGACCCGGGAGUCCUCAACCUGGAGCCAGAAGGCCACGGAGGCAGACCAGAUGACCUGCGGCGGGAGCCCGGAGGACGCGGGGCAGGUGCUGCGGGGGGGUUGGGGGGCGGUCUUGGUUCAACGUCGUCGGGGAGCUGCCUGGAGGAGAGCGCAAGUGACCGAGAGGAAGAUAAAUAGUUCGUUGGUGGCCUGAGCUGGGAUACAAGCAAAAAGGAUCCAAAAGACUAUUUUACCAAAUUUGGAGAGGUCCUUGACCAUACUAUAAAAAAUGGAUCCCAACAUUGGAAGAUGAAGAGGGUUGGGGUUUAUCCCCUUUAAAAAUGGAGAAGCAUAUCAGCCUAGGGAUGAGCCAAAUCAUGGCAUCAAGAGGGAACUAGCUCUUACGUACUUUGGCUUGAAAAUGGAGUUUCAAAUAGUGGGCUUGGUAUCUAUGAGGAUUUAACGAAACUGCUGAAAUCAUAAAACAAAAGGUUGUUGAUAUUUUUUCCAAAUGCAAACUCAUCUAUCUGCAUACUUAUCAGACAGUACAAAUGUAAAUUUUGGCAAAUUCCAUACAGUCUAUAAACUUCUUAACAGGGAUAAUGAAAAGAUCUUACCUAUUCAAUGACCUGCACAUCUUAUAUACAACAACACUAAAAAGGGUUGUGAUUGCUUAAAUGUGAUAUUGAGAUUUUCAUAAUGAAAGUUUGUGGUCAUUUUUAUCAAAUGCAAAGAAGCACUUAAUGAGUUUUUUUAUUUAAUAGAAAUGGAAGGAGAUAACCUCUGUAGACAUGUGCCUACAAGAUGGGCAUCAUUGCUCCCAGCCAUAGAAACCAUGCUAAAAUAUUGGCUACCAUAAAAUCAUAUUUUCAAAGUGUGGGACAAGAAUAAUAUCCUUUUUGAUUUGAAAAUAUAUCGAGGAUGAGAGUGGAGAAAAGGACUACAGUAAGAUAGAAGUUUAUAUGCUCUUUGCCAGCACUGUUUGAUGGUCUUUGAAGAGGCCAUAAAGAGCCUGUAAAAAGAAUAACAUGGCUGCACCUGAGCUGUUCGAUAUGAUUGUUCCCGAAUUAAAAAAAAAAAAAAAGUCAACAGAAAAGGGAAGCCAAGUGAAACAGUACCUUCUUAAUUUCUUUACUAGAACUGUACCUUAUUUGGAAUCCAACUUCGGUUUCACCAGUUCUGAGCUUUAAAACCAUUUUCCCUGAGAAGAUGUUUAACUUACGAUGACAUCCAGUGUGCUUCAGAGCAUUUAAAAAUGACAUAUUUUAUUCCCUGGCCAGUUUGGCUCAGUGGAUAAAGCAUCAGCCUGCAGACUGAA